rnacentral:tRNA from 1 species
CGAGGAGUAAACUAAGUUACUAAGUUGUUGGGCUCAUGUCCUAAAAAUAGAUGAAAUCUCUCCUUCG